UUUCCGUAGGUGAACCUGCGGAAGGAUCAUUAAAGAACGCCCCGUUUUUUGAAAUGGGUAAUUCUAAACCGUGUAUACAUACCUUUGUUGCUUUGGCAGGCCGCCCCUCAGGGCGUCGGCUCCGGCUGACUGCGCCUGCCAGAGGACCCAAGCUCUUUUGUUUAGUGAUGUCUGAGUACUAUAUAAUAGUUAAAACUUCCAACAACGGAUCUCUUGGUUCUG
rnacentral:misc_RNA from 1 species